rnacentral:misc_RNA from 1 species
AACCAUUCUCACCUGCGGCUAGACCUGCGGAAGGAUCAUUACAGAGUUGCAAAACUCCCUAAACCAUUGUGAACGUUACCUAAACCGUUGCUUCGGCGGGCGGCCCGGGUCCUUCCCGGCGCCCCUCGGCCCUCGCGGGCGCCCGCCGGAGGUAAACCAAACUAUUGCAUUGUAUGGCCUCUCUGAGUCUUCUGUACUGAAUAAGUCAAAACUUUUAACAACGGAUCUCAGAUCGGAAGA